rnacentral:tRNA from 1 species
CAUGGCUCAGCGGUAGAGCGCUGCCCCGACAAGGCAGAUAUCGGCGGUUCGAACCCGUCUG